rnacentral:tRNA from 1 species
ACGGAUGUGUUGAAAAUUGGUAAACAAGCUUUAUUUAGGCUAAAGUGACUUCGGUCUUACACGUUCAAGUCGUGUCAUCUGUA